GAGACACAGCGGAGAUAGCGCGCCUGCUAAAGGCUGCCGCCGCCAACACCUUAGGUGAAUACCGAGCUCCAGGAAGGUCGCUGUGGGUAGGGCAUGUGGGAAACGAGGCCAGGGGGAGAAGGAGGCCUCAACGUGGCCAAAGCACCUUGAUGAUGCGCUCUGUCCCCGGAGGCGCGUUCCACGGCCGCUGCCGGCACCUAGGCAGAGGGAUACGUUCCAGAAACACCUCAGCUUAGCGCGGGGAUGGCCUUCUUGUGCGUGAGUCCCUCUGCACACGGGAACUGUGCGCCCUGGGCACUGCACCUUCCAGUAUGUGGGCCGGAGAGGCGGGGGAUCUUGCCCAGCGGGUCCGACAGGGCAUGGAAGGAAGUAAAUGGAAGCCGGUAGGCUGGCUGCUCUAAGUUGAUCUGGUGCCUUGGUCACUCGUGGCUUCUUUCUUCUAUGCCAGCUCUGUCUUCUCUACACUUCCUCUGGAGGAGUAGGCCUUGACACAAUUACAAGAAGUCAGGGACCCUGAACAGAGGGACCAGCUGAAGUCACAGCAGAAGAACAUAAAUUGUGAAGAUUUCAUGGACAUUUAUUAGUU
rnacentral:lncRNA from 10 species